AUGCGGGAAAAUAUGCAAGAAAGAAUAGCUCAGAGAACCCUGGCAAAGAACAGUAUGGGCAGUGCCUGGAGGUGGGAGAUACAGGGAGGGCAGACAGGUCUGGACAGUAAAGUCAAACUAAUAGGGUCAUGUAAAAAGGACGUAGUAAUCAUUAAAGGACCACUGACCAAAGCAUCAGAUUCUAAUAUCAAUGGGAAUGACCGUAGUGGGUUGAAACACAGAGAAUAUGUAAAAACCUAUGAGUUCCUGCUGGAAACGCAAAAGUCACAAAAUGAGACAGUGUGUGAAGGACUCCAUGCUAAAAUCUGAGAGCUCUGGGACAGGUUGCAGAUACCUGAAGAAGAGAGAGAAGCUGUGGCCAUGGUUAUGACUGGGUCAAAGGCCAAGGUCAGAAAAGUGCUACAAUUAGAGGUGGAUUGGUUGGAAGAACUGAAAAUGCAAAACAUGAAGAAAGUGAUUGAGGCAAUACGGGUGGAGCUGGCUGAGUACUGGGAUCGGUGUUUUUACAGCCAGGAGCAGAGACAGGAUUUUGCCCCUUACUACACUGAGGACUUCACAGAAGAUCUGCUCCAGAGCCAUGAUGCUGAGGUUGUGAAGUUAAAAGAUUAUUAUGAGACUCAUAAGGAGCUCUUUGAAGGUGUUCAGAAGUGGGAAGAAAGCUGGAAGCUUUUCUUAGAGUUUGAGAGAAAAGCUUCAGAUCCAAGUCGAUUUACAAACCGGGGAGGAAAUCUUCUAAAAGAAGAAAAGCAAUGAGCAAAACUCCAGAAAACACUACCUAAGCUGGAAGAGGAGUUGAAGGCACAAAUUGAAAUGUGGGAACAGGAACACUCUAAGGCAUUUGUGGUGAAUGGGCAAAAAUUCAUGGAGUAUGUGACGGAGCAAUGGGAGAUGCAUCGAUUAGAGAAAGAGAGAGCCAAGCAGGAAAGACAACUCAAGAACAAGAAGCAGACAGAAACAGAGAUGCUCUAUGGGAGUGCCCCCCAAACACCCAGCAAGCGGCGAGGACUGACACCCAACACGCCAGGCAAAGUGCGCAAGCUGAAUACUACCACCAUCUCCAAUGCUACAGCCAAUAGCAGCAUUCAGCCUGUCUUUGGGGGGACAAUCUGCCGCUCCCCUGUGUCUCGACUUCCUCCUUCUGGCAGCAAGCCAGUUGCCACUUCCACCUGUUCAGGGAAGAAAACACCCCGUGCUGGGAGGCAUGGGGCUGACAAGGAGAACCUGGAGCUCAAUGGCAGUAUCCUGAGCAGUGGGUACCGUGACUCGACCCACCUCCAGCACAACCUCAGCAUUAAUUCCAUUGCCAGCACCUAUUCUGAGUUUGCGCAAGAACUUUCAAAGGCUUCCAAAUCUGACGCUGCUUCUCGAGUCCUCAAUUCAACCAACAUCCAGUCCUGAGAAGUCCUGAAGUCAACUAGCUGUGGCUUCCGUUGCCCAGACUGCACCUCAUUAUGUAGGAGGGUGGCUUUAGUUUUUCAGCAGUUUAGGUGUGCUUGAAACCCUGGACAGCUUCCAUGACCAUGGGCCUAAUUUGAAGAUGCAGACGAGUGGUACAGAUGAAAGUCCAUCAUAGAUUUAGUGGGUCCUGGGAGACUUAUUUUUAUUUUGACUCACGUUAAAACUUAGUGCAAAUUUUAGCAUAUGGGACCUGAUUUCUUCCUCUACCCCUUAAUUCUACUUGCUGAAACAUAAUCAGGGGAUUUUUUUAUUUCACCGUUGUGUAGGAAAAUGGUUAACUGUGCCCAUCCUUGGGGUAUAGGACUUGAAGUAAUUUGGGCUUAUCAUUAGCAAUUAACUCCUUUUUUGUUUAGGGAUGUUCAAGUAAUGCUUAGCUAUGAUAGUUUUGCUCUCACCUGAAGCCCUGUCCACACCACACAGGACAGUCUUCCUCUUUAUGAGAACGUCUGUGUGUCAGAAGUUAAGAUGGCCUGACCUGCCAAAGAGGUGACAGGGAGGAUGGGAGCUCCUUUGUUAAAUUGUAUACA